rnacentral:tRNA from 1 species
GUGGAUACAGCUCAAGUGGUAGAGCACAUGCUUAGCACGCAUGAGGUCCUGGGUUCAAUCCCCAGUACCUCCU